rnacentral:lncRNA from 1 species
AUUGGCCCUUGACCAGCCUGAUUGGUUGCAGGAGGGGACCAAUCAGAGGUACCUCCCAUUUUUCAUCUGCAGCCCAAUGCAAAGUAAUGACAUGGAUCUGGAGAGAUUCUCUUAGGAGAGAAUCUGGCUAAGUGUCUAGCAGGAUGAUUGAUUAACAAGAUGUUUUGUUUUCAUCAUCUCAGAGAUAAGUACAACUAUUCUGUCAUCUAAUCUGCUAACUCCUACAUUAUCAAUACGCUGUAUUGAGGUAUAAUUGAUAUGCCAAAUAACUGGACACAUUCAACUUGUGCAAUUUGAUGAGUUUGGAGAUACACAUACAUCUGUGAAACCAUCACCAAAAUCAAGAACAACUUUCUCUGAUCUCUGUGGACAUGCUUAAAAUGGCUGACUCACACAGCAAGACUAUUUAACUGUGCCUAAAAUCAACCCACAUUCAGAUGCUAACUGUAAUCCUAUUCCCUGAUCCAUCAGGAAAAAGAGUCUGAUUGACAUAACUUGUCAAGUGUUCGCCCCAGCUUCUAUCAACUAUGGGGAAGGAAGGGCCAGAAGAGGUGUAACCAUCAUGGCUACCAGAGUACAUGGUUUCCAGGCCAAAUACCACAGUGUUCCAGGCAAGGAUGUGGUCAGUUUCCUUCUCUGCUGGAUCCCAAAGCCCAGGGCAGCUCUUGCACAUACAAACACAUUCAAGCAUCUUCUAUGUGCCAAGAACUUGCUGGAAAACAUCACAAAAGUUAAUAUUUUCUGGAGAUCAAGGAAUGAAACUCAGCCCUCUGCAAAUGGAACACAAACGCCUGGUACAUGGAUGCUACAAUGAAAAGAAUAUGGGUGCUGAAAUCAGAGAGAAUCAUCCAAGAUGAUCCUUAUGCAUGCUGAACUCUGAGAGCCACCAGUGAAGAAGAUAAGUGACCCAUCUACCUGUAGCUGGAAAAUAAAGGCUCUUUGGGAUUCUUUCCCAUGAGUCUUCAUUUCACCAUAUUGGUGAGAGAAGGCAUUCAGGCCCAAUAAUUAACUGAACAUUAGCUGUGUACCAGACACUGUGGUCGACAUUGAGAUAUAACGGAUUUAAGAAAGUCUUUGUGGCUGUGGUGGCUUCAAAUCACUCCCGAGGCUUUAGAAGAAUAUAAUUGCCGUUCUAAGAAGAAUCUGAGGCCUCUAGGAGAUCUGCCAGUAGUGGCCCCAAUGUAUAACAGCACUAGCUCAGUGAAGAGAGAGAGAAAAGAUCUGAAGAGAGUGGUUGCAGUUUGAGCUCUGUCAAUGGGACAGUCCUGGGCAGGAGACUGGGGAGAAGAGGCGGCUUGCUGGUUUUCCUGAACCACUUCCACCCUGAAAGACUCCUUGCAUACAAUCAUCAGAGAAGAACCGUGGGAACCAAGAACCAUGAGCAGGAGAACCAUGAGCACACUGUUCGCAAUGGCCAAGAUUUGGAGGCAACCUAAGUGUCCAUCGACAGACAAAUGGUUAAAGAAAAUGAGGAAGGAAUAUCAAGAAAAUAGACUACAAAUAAAUGUCUUUUAUUUCUACUUCUUCAAUAUAUAUUAUAACAUUCUUCUUGCCAACUGAUCUUCUUGCCUCCAAUUUGACCCCUCUGAUCCACCAAGUAUUGCAUACUACCGUGUUUUGAGACAUAGGAGGAGGAAAAAACCAUGGCUGCGGAGGUGAUUUAAUAUCCUGUUGACUCUGAAGAAAAAUACACUUCUUCAUUAUAAGAGUUUUAUUGCCAAUGACUAGAAGGAAAUGUAAAGGGGACAACACAAGAUGACUAACACAGGAAGUUAUAAAACUCACAGCUCUAACUGUCAUGGCCCUGGGCCCAUGGUGCCUGAAUCCCUCUGGGAGUAUUAAAUGGAAGGCCCCCUGGUACCUGAAUUUUGUUUUAGUUUUCUCUCUCCAUCUCUGUGAUUACACAUAAAAUCAGCCAAGCACCUGCUCCCCUCCAGCCUAGAUAACACAUACCUCCAUGCUAUAAAGGGACAAUUUGACCAAGAGACACCCACCUCACCUGACCACAGAGCUGGAAAAUCUACUAUGUCAGACUUCCAUGCAACCGCUGGUGGGAGAAAGUUUUCACGAGUCUCUCUGGGCCCUUAUCCCUCUCCCCUGUAUUCCCAUCCUUAUCCAAAUCCACAUUUCACCAAACUCCCUAACGCUAAGCAGCUGUUGAAGUUCAGAUCACAGUCUCUGAGGAGCUCCUGGUUUCCCAUGGAAUGUGAUUUGCCUCAUCAUCUUACAGCCUGCCUCCACUUUGCUUUCUUAUCAUUUCAGAGGCUU